rnacentral:rRNA from 1 species
GACAGAGGGUGCAAACGUUGUUCGGAAUUACUGGGCGUAAAGGGCUCGUAGGCGGCCAACUAAGUCCGACGUGAAAUCCCCAGGCUUAACCUGGGAACUGCGUCGGAUACUGGAUGGCUUGAAUCCGGGAGAGGGAUGCGGAAUUCCAGGUGUAGCGGUGAAAUGCGUAGAUAUCUGGAGGAACACCGGUGGCGAAGGCGGCAUCCUGGACCGGCAUUGACGCUGAGGUGCGAAAGCGUGGGGAGCAAACAGG